GUCUCUCGGCCGGCCACAGGCUCCGCCCUCCUCCACCCGGAAGUGGGCUGGCGGCUCCAAGAUGGCGUCUCCUCCUCCGGGGGGCCCGAUGGCGAUCGCGAUGCGGCUCCGGAACCAGCUGCAGGCCGUCUACAAGAUGGACCCGCUGCGGAACGAGGAGGAGGUGAAGGUGAAGAUGAAGGAGCUGAACGAGCACAUCGUCUGCUUCCUCUGCGCCGGCUACUUCAUCGACGCCACCACCAUCACCGAGUGCCUGCACACCUUUUGCAAGAGCUGCAUCGUGAAGUUCCUGCAGACCAGCAAGUAUUGCCCGCUGUGCAGCACCAAGAUCCACGAGACUCAGCCGCUGCUCAACCUCAAGCUGGACCGCGUCAUGCAGGACAUUGUCUACAAGCUGGUGCCUGGCCUGCAGGAGAGUGAGGAGAGGAGGAUCCGGGAAUUCUACCAGUCCCGAGGGCUGGAGCGGGGCAGCCAGGCCAGCCACGAAGACCCUGCCUCGGACCGUGUGGGCCUGCCCUACACCACCUUUGACCAUUCACGAGCUCAUUAUUACCGCUUUGACGAGCACGUCACGCUGUGCCUGGAGAAGCAGAGGUGGGCCAGAUUCAGCCUCUCCUGUCUUCUCCUCUUGCAGCAGUUCUGGAAAAGAGAAGAGCAAACACAUCCUGCAGCAAAAGUAUGUCCGCUGCUCCGUGCGGGCCCAGAUCCGCCACCUUCGCCGGGUUUUGUGUUGCCGACUGGAACUGGCCUUGCAAUAUGUACAGAUCCUGUUUGACAACGAAGUGCUUCCAGAUCACCUGACCCUGAAACAACUUUGGCUCACCCGCUGGUUUGGCAAGCCGGCCCCGCUGCAUCUGAACUACAGUGUGAAGGAGAAGAGGAGGUAGGGGGCGAUGGACCGUGAUGUACCCUCCCCCCCCACCGCCCUUUAAUUUAAGGAUCUCUGCUCUUCCACGGGCAUUUAUUUUUGUAAUAAAAAGACUGAUGGUGGCCUUCUG